UACAGAGGUCUCAAGCGUUGUUCGGAUUCAUUGGGCGUAAAGGGUGCGUAGGUGGCGCUGUAAGUCGGGUGUGAAAUCUCGGGGCUUAACUCCGAAACUGCAUUCGAUACUGCCGUGCUUGAGGACUGGAGAGGAGACUGGAAUUUACGGUGUAGCGGUGAAAUGCGUAGAUAUCGUAAGGAAGACCAGUGGCGAAGGCGGGUCUCUGGACAGUUCCUGACGCUGAGGCACGAAGGCCAGGGGAGCAAACGGG
rnacentral:rRNA from 1 species